rnacentral:rRNA from 1 species
UUAACGCUAAUACCGCAUACGACCUACCGGGUGAAAGGACAGGGGAGUCUUCGGACCUUGCGCGAUUGAAUGAGCCGAUGUCGGAUUAGCUAGUUGGCGGGGUAAAGGCCCACCAAGGCGACGAUCCGUAGCUGGUCUGAGAGGAUGAUCAGCCACACUGGAACUGAGACACGGUCCAGACUCCUACGGGAGGCAGCAGCA